UACGUAGGGUCCGAGCGUUGUCCGGAAUUACUGGGCGUAAAGAGCUCGUAGGUGGUUUGUCGCGUUGUUCGUGAAAACUCACAGCUCAACUGUGGGCGUGCGGGCGAUACGGGCAGACUUGAGUACUGCAGGGGAGACUGGAAUUCCUGGUGUAGCGGUGGAAUGCGCAGAUAUCAGGAGGAACACCGGUGGCGAAGGCGGGUCUCUGGGCAGUAACUGGCGCUGAGGAGCGAAAGCGUGGGGAGCGAACAGG
rnacentral:rRNA from 1 species